rnacentral:misc_RNA from 1 species
AGCAGUGAACAACAAGCAGCAAAAGGAGAGGAGAGAACAUGAGAAAGAGCUUCACUUGGUUGAUAAAGUCUUCAAACUUGGACUCAUAGUUUAUGUACCAUGAAAAGCCUAAUGUGAAGAUGAGUAUGGUCACGAAAAGGCAUAAGUGGAAAGGCAUAGAGAGGUAGGAGAUGUAGUCCAGAUAAGAAUGUUGGUUGUAGUACCUAGCCAUGGUUACUGCUUAGAGAAGAAGUGAUUGCUAGGGAUAUGCAACUUUAUGUGCAGAGAGAUGGGCAACUUUUGGUUGGAAUGUUUGAUUUAUAGAAUACACUGGUUUGAUUCUGAGAGUAAAGUUGUUGCAGUAGGCUUGGGUUUUAUAGGGAGCUGAAAGAGAGAAAAUUU